UACGUAGGUGGCAAGCGUUGUCCGGAUUUCCUGGGCGUAAAGAGCGCUCAGGCUGUCGUUCAAGUCGCGUGUGAAAGCCCCCGGCUCAACUGGGGAGGGUCACGCGAUACUGAUCGACUCGAAGGCAGGAGAGGGUAGUGGAAUUCCCGGUGUAGUGGUGAAAUGCGUAGAUAUCGGGAGGAACACCAGUGGCGAAGGCGACUACCUGGCCUGUUCUUGACGCUGAGGCGCGAAAGCUAGGGGAGCAAACGGG
rnacentral:rRNA from 1 species